rnacentral:tRNA from 2 species
GGGCCGAUAGCUCAGUUAGUAGAGCGCUACCUUCGCAAGGUAGAGGUCCCGGGUGCGAUUCCCGGUCGGUCCA